rnacentral:lncRNA from 1 species
GUCUGUGCGUCCGUUCGUCCGUCCGUUCGUCCGUCCGUUCGUCCGUCUGUCCGUUCGUUCGUCCGUCUGUCCCGCUUCAGGUUAAAGUUUUUGGUCAAGGUAGUUUUUGAUGAAGCUGAAGUCCAAUCAACUUCAAACUUAAUAUACAUGUUCCUUAUGAUAUGAUCUUUCUAAUUUUACAGCCAAAUUAAACUUUUGAACCCAAUUUCAUGGUCCACUGAACAUAGAAAAUGAAAGUGUGAGUUUCAGGUUAAAGUUUUUGGUCAAGGUAGUUUUUGAUGAAGCUGAAGUCCAAUCAACUUCAAACUUAGUAUACAUGUUCCUUAUGAUAUGAUCUUUCUAAUUUUACAGCCAAAUUAAACUUUUGACCCCAAUUUCAUGGUCCACUGAACAUAGAAAAUGAAAGUGUGAGUUUCAGGUUAACCUUUUUGGUCAAGGUAGUUUCUGAUGAAGCUGAAGUCCAAUCAACUUGAAACUUAGUACACAUGUUCCUUAUGAUAUGAUCUUUCUAAUUUUACAGUCAAGUUAAAUUGUUGACCCCAAUUUCACGGUCCACUGAACAUAGAAAAUGAAAGUGUGAGU